CAGUAAUCACAAUGCAGGAGCACCUUGAACAUUUGAAAUCUUCACAGGUGUCUCUUUACUACCAGAAAUGCUUGUAUGCCAUGAUCUAACUUCAAGUCUCAAGUGAGCUCGUGGUGGAGUUUUGGCUGCAGCUUAUAAGAUUUAUUUCCAGAAAGCACAUACUAUUCACAUGCCCAAAACAAGAAUUACACAGACUGGGACAAGUAACAGAAAAGCAAAAUACUAGAAGAAGUUUUGGAAUUUUUUUUUAAGUUUUGAAAACAGCUCAAGGUCACCUUAAACCUGCAGAUCCAGUGAAGAUGCAGAAUUAUGAAUAAAUGAUGGCUAUUUCUUAAGCACUGUGGUCUCUCAUCUUCUGAUCAGUGGAGCCGACUACAUUUGGUGAAAUACCAUCUUGUUCACACUUGGGAUUAAUUCUCCUCAGGUCAUGAAUAAAAUGUAUUAGGCUCCUACUGUACUGAUUCCCCAGAGAACACUCAUGGCAAAGCCAGCAUCUAAUUUUCCACUCUAAACUUCUUACUGCAGCUUGUAGGGUUUUUUUCUAGUUCAGUUUUGACUUUCAUUUUUCAGUUGCUUGGGGGUCAGAGGCUGCCCCCAAAUUAUGCUUACAAGAGAUGAUUCAAAUAGGGACAGGGCCAUUGUUAUCCCAGUUUUUGAUACCAUUUCUCCAACAUCACUGUGCCCCUUAACACAUUCCUUCAGGAUGAUCCAGCCACCUGCACGUAGACAAUCCAUUAAGAGUGAUGGUUGUAACAAGGCAGGGGUGGGAAAAGAGAUUUAGUGUCACAUACAUUUGAAUUUAUCUUUCUGCUAAGACUGAUGGCAGGAUCUUUAUUUGCCCCCCAAGUCCACUCAGUAGUCAGAGUUCAUUUAUAGAAAUACGUUAUUGCAGGGACAAGUAUAGUAAUGUCCUAUAUAACCAGGGGAACUCUGUAAGCUUGACUGGAUAGCAUGUGAUGGACAUGACCUCAGAAAACUUUCUUAACUCACAUGGCAGUAAAUUCUGACUCUGAAGGCAGCCUAAAGUGAUCAACCAACCUGCUGGCUUGGUGAGUCUUGAAAGAUGAGCUUGCCCACACACUCUUUUCUGAUUUCCUACAGAGACACCAGUUAAUCUAUUGGGAGGUGGAAAACACUUAAGCCAGCAUUUUAUUUCAUUCAGCUCUCAAUCCUUUUGAAUAGCUGCAUUGGUCUCACCAAUAAGGCCAGAACCACACUCUAUUCCUUGCAGCUAUUAGCUGCAAGGGCAGGGCUGAGGUAAUCUUGCUGAUAUGCACAGGUUCCUCUUCCAUUCAGCAGAACCUCAAGCUCACAGGAGAUGGUGCAGCAGUUUCUGUGAGCUCCAAUUCCAUUGGAAGGGCUUUGAACAGUGUUGGAGGAGAAAAAAGGGACUGAUGGCAUCAAAUAGGGAUACAACUGUGGUGGCAAAUUAAUUUCUGGGUCCUUGGGAUAAUGCAUAUUGCAGGCUUUUUUUAACAGAAGCAGUUUCCCACUUUAUCGUACCCUAAUGCUGCUAUAUUUAAAAUGCAAUAUUUUGCUGCCCUACAAAUAUUAUCUCAGAAGGAAAGAAGCAGCUUGUGAAUCACCAAACUUUAUUUGCAAUCUGACCAUGGUUUUAAUGUAAAUGGCAUUCUCUUAGCAUUUAUAGGUUUGGAUAAAUCUGAGAGAAAAUCUUCUUGCCAAGUUUUCUCAGCAUGCCCUCUCCCCACUUACCUCAGUUGUCUGCCUCAUGCACCUCUUUAUCACAGUGCCUGAUUCAUUGUGCAAACUGGAUGGAAAAUGACAGAGCCUCAGCCACAAGCUUGCUUGGCUGAAGUGACAUUUCUUGUGAAUGACCAUAAUGCAAGUGGCAUUUACACGACAGCAUUUUGAAAAGGCAACAAAUGAUGCAGUGCCUGUCAAAAAACUUUUUCCUGCAUUAAAGAAGGAUGGACAGUUGCCAUUCACUUCAUGACUAUCAAAAUACUUGUAUUUAGAGUCAAAACAUCUGCUGCUUUUA